rnacentral:lncRNA from 1 species
GCUUUGUGAAGAAUCUGCAAAUGAGUGGAAGGUAUCUUAGAGAUGUAUGGUAACGAAGCUGUUGAAGUCCCACACACUCGGUGUACUUUAUUAUAAUAUAUACGGCACAGAAUUGCCACAUUAUGAUGAUCAUGAAGUUUGUGAUCGUUAGAGGAAAUUAAUGAACCUCCUUUUUUCCAAUUAUUAAUUUAGUUUCUAUAUUUGUUUUCAUUUACUUUUGUUGAUUUUAUUUUUUUAACUUUUGUUAUAUAGCCACCAGAUAAAAUAAUGGGAAAAAAUUGCAUAAGAUUUGAUGUGGGUAUUUGUGAAACAAUCAUGUUAUAUACAAAAUUGUUUUCAUUAAAAAAAAAAGAAACAAUCAUGUUAUAUACAAAAGUCUGUACACUUUGGUAUGAUAUUUAUUUAUGUAGCAGCAAGAUUUUGGGACAUACAAUCUCUAUGUUCUUAUAUAUUGCUCAAUAAGCUAGUUUGAAAUCAAUUUGGCAUAAUAUAUAUAUAGCGCAGGUGGCACACCAUACAUGUAUGAGAACUUACAUGAUCUGCUAUUAGCAUGAUAUAUUCUUGAAAAUACAUGUGCCUAUACUACUAACACAUGCAUAUAGCACACUGAUUUUUUUUUUCAAAAAAGGUUAUUGUUGUCAUCGUCAAGACAUGCCACUUGAAACCUUCUAGCUGGUUCGGAAGUGCUUGUUGGUAGUUGAGAUGAAUGGAAUGGGAUGGUGUGGUAGGUGAGCUGGGAGCAUGUAGUUGAAGAUAUAAUAGCACGUGACGUGAGGUAACAUUGAUACGUGCGAAAUUAAGUUGGUGGAUGAUCCACUUUCCAACAAUAAAAAAACAUGAUGUUUCUCUUCCUCUUUCAACUACUUUUUUCUUCUCUUCUUGUUGUGUGUUUCUCUCCACCUCAUAAAUUAAUCUUAUUAUUAUUAUUAAGUCGGGCUACGGAAAUUACUCCAUCUGUUCCUAAAAAUAAAAAUUUUUAGAUUUAUUUUUUGUUCAAAAAUAAUAAUUUUAUAAAAUUUUAAAGUAUUUUUAGUAGUUAAUGUUGAAAAGUUGUAUACUUUAAAAAAAACACUAAUUGAAAAUAUUUGAAUUGUUUGAAUAUUAUUGGUUGAUAUUUAUUAGAAAAUAUAUGUAAAAUAAAUAAUAAAUUCAAUUGUAAAUAUUUAUUAUAUUCUUAAUAUAUAUGAAUACUCUAGAAAAUCAAUCUUCGUAAAACUAUUAAAGUGUAGUAAUAAAGAAGGGGUUAUGAAUUGCAUAAACGAAAAUAUGCCACGUUAAGUUUAUAGGAACCGAUCAUCGGUGUUCAUUGACAUGGUAGCUAGUACCACCAUUUUCUUUCUUUUUGAUUUUAUUCACCAACAUUAAUGAUGUUUUGAUCGUCGACAAUACCUCUUACUUCUCCAAACUUAUCUUAGUUCCAAGAAUAAUCUUUUCAACCAUUUUUUUAUUUCUUCUUAUUCUUCACAAUUGAUUUUAUUAAAGUCUAAACAUUCAUUAUAAUGUGAGAUAUUAUCUUUAGUAAUAUACGAAAUAUCCAUAUCUUCUCUCUCAUUGACUUGGUCCCUUGUCUUCAUCUUCCUCGCUUAGUGUAUUGACCCCAUUGUCUUUGUUUACUCGCAUAGGAUUGCUGAAACUAGAAUCCAUGUCACAUGUGCACUGGUCUACGAGAAGAUGCCAACAGGAAGGAUACACAAGGGAGUGUGUUCGACUUGGAUGAAGGUAAACAUAUCUCAUUGUGAUCUUUUUGCCAUUUUUUAUCAUUUUAAUCUAAAAUUUUGCUUUUGCGUUGUAAUGACAGAGUGCUGUGCCUUAUGAGAAGAGUGAAAACUGUUGCUCAGCACCGAUAUUUGUUAGGCAAUCCAACUUCAAGCUUCCUUCUGAUUCUAAAGUACCGAUUAUAAUGAUCGGUCCAGGGACAGGAUUGGCUCCUUUCAGAGGUUUCCUUCAGGAAAGGCUUGCGUUGGUAGAAUCUGGUGUUGAACUUGGACCAUCAGUUUUGUUCUUUGGAUGCAGAAACCGCAGAAUGGUAAUAAAACCAUUCUCAAAAACUCUUAUCAAAAUCAUCUGUUAGUUCAGUUUCUCUAACUCUUCUUGUAUUUGCAGGACUUCAUCUACGAGGAAGAGCUCCAGAGGUUUCUAGAGAGUGGUGCACUCUCAGAGCUAAGCGUGGCCUUCUCUCGUGAAGGACCAACCAAAGAGUAUGUACAGCACAAGAUGAUGGACAAGGUAUGAGUCUAAUAACCAGAUCUUUGCAUAGUUUCUCAGAUUCUUGGGCUGACAAUUAUUUGCAAUGCAGGCUUCUGAUAUAUGGAACAUGAUCUCUGAAGGAGCUUAUGUAUAUGUUUGUGGUGACGCCAAAGGCAUGGCAAGAGACGUUCACAGAUCUCUCCACACAAUAGCUCAAGAACAGGUUCGUUUGAGACCCAAAAACAUGAGUUCUCAUCACAUCACAAACAGAGUGUUUAUUGAUUAUGUCUUGUCUUUGUUUUUCAGGGAUCAAUGGAUUCGACGAAAGCAGAGAGCUUUGUGAAGAAUCUGCAAAUGAGUGGAAGGUAUCUUAGAGAUGUAUGGUAACGAAGCUGUUGAAGUCCCACACACUCGGUGUACUUUAUUAUAAUAUAUACGGCACAGAAUUGCCACAUUAUGAUGAUCAUGAAGUUUGUGAUCGUUAGAGGAAAUUAAUGAACCUCCUUUUUUCCAAUUAUUAAUUUAGUUUCUAUAUUUGUUUUCAUUUACUUUUGUUGAUUUUAUUUUUUUAACUUUUGUUAUAUAGCCACCAGAUAAAAUAAUGGGAAAAAAUUGCAUAAGAUUUGAUGUGGG